GUCGGACACACGGGUCGGGUCGUUGUAGCUGACGUAGCGGAGGACGACGUCGCCGUAGAGUUGAACCUCGGCGAGCUUCAUGCGGUUGUCGAGGAGGACAGGGGGGGAUACGGGGAUGGCGCCGUGGUUGAUUGAGGCGGAGAAGGCUUGGACGGCGUCGGCGACUUCGACGGCGACGGCGCGGACGGCGAGGCCGUGGGCGGCGGAGAAGGCGAAGCAGGUGGAGGCGGAGAAAGUGGGGAUGGAGGCGGUGGAGGGGAGGGAGAUUUUGGGAGAGUAUGGGGCGGAGAAGAGGAAGCAGAGGUCGCCGGAGCGGAGGAGGUAGGAGGCGUGAGAGUGGUUUCCGGUGGAGAGGUCUGAUUUUGCGACGAGCGGCAUGCCGAGGCCCCAGGAGAAGCGGCGUGCGGCGUUGGUGGCGUCGGAGCACCAGAACUCGAUGUGGUGGAACCUUUUCACGGCGAACCGGUCUGAUUUUGGGUUGGACCGGACGAAGCGGUUGAACCCGAGGAGUUUGAACCCGGUUUGGACUUCUUCAGUAGUUGUUGUUUGUUUACCCAUGGUGGAGUGAGUGUUGGGUUUCGGAUGGUGGGGUGGUGGUGGUGUUAUGUAGGAGAAGUGGCGGCGGAGUGACAC
rnacentral:lncRNA from 1 species